rnacentral:rRNA from 1 species
AUUGAACGCUGGCGGCAUGCUUUACACAUGCAAGUCGAACGGUAACAGGUUAAGCUGACGAGUGGCGAACGGGUGAGUAAUGCAUCGGAACGUGCCCGAUCGUGGGGGAUAACGCAGCGAAAGCUGCGCUAAUACCGCAUACGAUCUGAGGAUGAAAGCGGGGGACCGUAAGGCCUCGCGCGAUCGGAGCGGCCGAUGUCAGAUUAGGUAGUUGGUGGGGUAAAGGCUCACAAGGCCGACGAUCUGUAGCUGGUCUGAGAGGACGACCAGCCACACUGGGACUGAGACACGGCCCAGACUCCUACGGGAGGCAGCAGUGGGGAAUUUUGGACAAUGGGCGAAAGCCUGAUCCAGCAAUGCCGCGUGCAGGAAGAAGGCCUUCGGGUUGUAAACUGCUUUUGUACGGAGCGAAAAGGCUCUCUCUAAUACAGGGGGCUCAUGACGGUACCGUAAGAAUAAGCACCGGCUAACUACGUGCCAGCCGCCGCAGUAACAC